GGGUUGUGAGGUUAAGCGACUAAGCGUACACGGUGGAUGCCCUGGCAGUCAGAGGCGAUGAAGGACGUGCUAAUCUGCGAUAAGCGUCGGUAAGGUGAUAUGAACCGUUAUAACCGGCGAUUUCCGAAUGGGGAAACCCAGUGUGUUUCGACACACUAUCAUUAACUGAAUCCAUAGGUUAAUGAGGCGAACCGGGGGAGCUGAAACAUCUAAGUACCCCGAGGAAAAGAAAUCAACCGAGAUUCCCCCAGUAGCGGCGAGCGAACGGGGAGCAGCCCAGAGCCUGAAUCAGUAUGUGUGUUAGUGGAAGCGUCUGGAAAGGCGCGCGAUACAGGGUGACAGCCCCGUACACAAAAAUGCACAUGCUGUGAGCUCGAUGAGUAGGGCGGGACACGUGGUAUCCUGUCUGAAUAUGGGGGGACCAUCCUCCAAGGCUAAAUACUCCUGACUGACCGAUAGUGAACCAGUACCGUGAGGGAAAGGCGAAAAGAACCCCGGCGAGGGGAGUGAAAAAGAACCUGAAACCGUGUACGUACAAGCAGUGGGAGCACGCUUAGGCGUGUGACUGCGUACCUUUUGUAUAAUGGGUCAGCGACUUAUAUUCUGUAGCAAGGUUAACCGAAUAGGGGAGCCGAAGGGAAACCGAGUCUUAACUGGGCGUUAAGUUGCAGGGUAUAGACCCGAAACCCGGUGAUCUAGCCAUGGGCAGGUUGAAGGUUGGGUAACACUAACUGGAGGACCGAACCGACUAAUGUUGAAAAAUUAGCGGAUGACUUGUGGCUGGGGGUGAAAGGCCAAUCAAACCGGGAGAUAGCUGGUUCUCCCCGAAAGCUAUUUAGGUAGCGCCUCGUGAAUUCAUCUCCGGGGGUAGAGCACUGUUUCGGCAAGGGGGUCAUCCCGACUUACCAACCCGAUGCAAACUGCGAAUACCGGAGAAUGUUAUCACGGGAGACACACGGCGGGUGCUAACGUCCGUCGUGAAGAGGGAAACAACCCAGACCGCCAGCUAAGGUCCCAAAGUCAUGGUUAAGUGGGAAACGAUGUGGGAAGGCCCAGACAGCCAGGAUGUUGGCUUAGAAGCAGCCAUCAUUUAAAGAAAGCGUAAUAGCUCACUGGUCGAGUCGGCCUGCGCGGAAGAUGUAACGGGGCUAAACCAUGCAC
rnacentral:rRNA from 1 species